AUGCAUUAUUUGUAGUUGAAACAAUCUGUGUUUUCAUGCAUUAUUUGUAGUUGAAAGAGUCAUUAUUUCAAAGCCACAAUAUUUUUUUUCAGUUGCUAGCAAUGAGGCUUGAAAUAAGAGGCUGGAGGUAUGGCAGGGGAGAGAUGUAAGAUUUGGUUGCAGUAUUGGCUGAAAUUCAGUAGUAACUAACAACUUGAGUAGCCCAUUGAAUCAGUUGAGAUAAGUCAACACCUAUGUAAUUCCGACAGAUUUAAUGGACCUAUUGGAAUUGUGACUUACUACUGGAUUUUAGCCAAUCUGUCUUGACCUGCUAGAAGUGAGCAUUGAGAUACCAAUCUGGGCAAAGAAUGGGCCAGUGUUGGGCUGCUGUUAAAGGUUUGCUUGUGCAGCAGCCUGUUAAGAGAGCGAUUUCUGCCUAGGCAGUGAAGACCACUUUCAUGUCAUUUUGCCUUUUACAAAAGGCAAGCAACUUGUUUUUACUCAGUUUGCCCAAUCUUAUUGAGUAAAUAAAAUUCAAGAACACUUAUUAAGGUUAGGUAUUGGUGAUGUUUUACAUUCAUUAUACAGUUUUGUUUUCCUGAAAAGCAGACAUCAGAGACUUGUUGCAAUACUUUGAAAACAAAAAGUGCUGGAACAGAAAAAAGGGAACCUCUGCUUGCAUUUCCUGUAGCUGAGAGACAGUAAAGCAAGGAUCUGUCGUUGCACAUGGGCAGACAUGGUUAUGGGACGUGCAGGGUGGUUCCUCAUUUUUCCUUUAAUUUAAUUGGAAAAGAUUAUAUCACCGAGUCUGACUUUCUCCACCCCCUUUGUUAAUGACAUACAUGGGUGGAGUGGCUGCUGUUUUCACCUUCUGGCCACAGUGAUUUUUUUGCCUUUGCUGCACAGAAUGGCGGAACAGAUGCUGCCUAACAGAUACUCCUCCAAACAGAUUUCUUCAGAUGUCUUGGAUUGUGUAUGACUCCAAUAAUCCUCUAACCAGAGGGAUUCCUCUCGUUCUGAACUUGGAUCCCCAUCAUCACAAGCUCAGAGGACGGUGCUCACUGCAUUGCAAUAAGGACUUGCCAUAAAGACAUACUGUACCUAGCCUUAACAUGGAGUUCCCAGGUCCUUGAGAAAAAUGAAUUACCAAGACUCAUGUGUAAUAUGGCAAACUAAGAAGUGCAGUUCUAACGGUGUAAUUGUCAACAGAAGAGUUGCUUGUUACUAUGGCUAAUUCUAUUCUGCUUUCUACAUUAAACAAAUAAUCUAUCACAAUACAGUAUACCGAAGUAUAUAAUUUAUUCAUAAGAACAUAAGAAGAGCCCUGCUUGAUCAGGUCAAGGGCACAUCUAGUCCAGCUCCCUGUAUCUCACAGCAGCCCCACCAGAUGCCUCUGGGAGCACACGAGAUCACUAGAUACCUGUCUCCUGAUACCCCU
rnacentral:lncRNA from 1 species